rnacentral:rRNA from 1 species
UCGGGUCGUAAAACUCUGUUGUUAGGGAAGAACAAGUGCUAGUUGAAUAAGCUGGCACCUUGACGGUACCUAACCAGAAAGCCACGGCUAACUACGUGCCAGCAGCCGCGGUAAUACGUAGGUGGCAAGCGUUAUCCGGAAUUAUUGGGCGUAAAGCGCGCGCAGGUGGUUUCUUAAGUCUGAUGUGAAAGCCCACGGCUCAACCGUGGAGGGUCAUUGGAAACUGGGAGACUUGAGUGCAGAAGAGGAAAGUGGAAUUCCAUGUGUAGCGGUGAAAUGCGUAGAGAUAUGUAGGAACACCAGUGGCGAAGGCGACUUUCUGGCUGUAACUGACACUGAGGCGCGAAAGCGUGGGGAGCAAACAGGAUUAGAUACCCUGGUAGUCCACGCCGUAAACGAUGAGUGCUAAGUGUUAGAGGGUUUCCGCCCUUUAGUGCUGAAGUUAACGCAUUAAGCACUCCGCC